rnacentral:lncRNA from 1 species
UCCACAACAACCAUCACAAAAAGGUGUAGACCCAAAAGAAGUGACCUCCACAGUGCUCUGUCCCCUAGCUACGAAUGUCCCCAGCCUGACCCUGAGGAAUGCGAUAGAACAGAUUCCACCAGCAGUUUCCUUAAUCCCACAAAUAGACCUGAGAAAGAGCCCUCACAAGGACAAAGGGAAAUAACCCAUGACCUACCCCCCGUCAAC